rnacentral:rRNA from 1 species
AUGGUUGACGACGAUGCCUCGCGGCGGGCCACCUAUGGUGAGCGCAAUGGCGGACUGCUGAGGGAGGCGCAUGAACUCGCCGUGCUCUGCGAGGCGGAAGUCGGCAUCCUCGUCUUCGACAGCGCCGGCAGGCAGUUGGACUACUGCAGCCCCCACACAAGGUCCGUACGCUCCGUUGUCGAUCUUCUUCUCCCAAUCUCGGUUCAUUCCGGUUGUACAUUGACACUGAUUACGGAUUUGCUGUCACGUCCAUUUGCGAUUUGA